rnacentral:rRNA from 1 species
CCUACGGUGGGCAGCAGUCGAGAAUCAUUCACAAUGGGGGAAACCCUGAUGGUGCGACGCCGCGUGGGGGAAUGAAGGUCUUCGGAUUGUAAACCCCUGUCAUGUGGGAGCAAAUUAAAAAGAUAGUACCACAAGAGGAAGAGACGGCUACCCUUGUGCAAGCAGCCGCGGUAAUACAGAUGUCUCAAGCGUUGUUCGGACUCACUGGGCGUACAGCGUGCGUAGGCUGUUUCGUAAGUCGUGUGUGAAAGGCGCGGGCUCAACCCGCGGACGGCACAUGAUACUGCGAGACUAGAGUAAUGGAGGGGGAACCGGAAUUCUCGGUGUAGCAGUGAAAUGCGUAGAUAUCGAGAGGAACACUCGUGGCGAAGGCGGGUUCCUGGACAUUAACUGACGCUGAGGCACGAAGGCCAGGGGAGCGAAAGGGAUUAGAUACCCUGGUAGUC